rnacentral:lncRNA from 1 species
UAUGCAGUUGCAGACGGCUAUUUUAUCUUGUUUCGAUUUUGCUUGUGCAAGGAUUCCGUUCAGUCCUGCACAACAAGAACUUGCUGGUUGUGUAGAUUGGUCGUCUAUGUAUGAUAGGCACGAGGCCAGUUUUGCAGUGACAGUCGGGCACGAAGGUGUAGCAGCCCUGGCUGGCCUUAACACUAACAGUACGAAGACUGAUAGAAUUCCGAGUAGACGAGCCAUUCUUCUCUUUCAAGAAAUUUAGACCAAAUA